rnacentral:rRNA from 1 species
AACGAACGCUGGCGGCAGGCCUAACACAUGCAAGACGAGCGAGGACUUCGGUCCUAGCGGCGGACGGGUGAGUAACGCGUGGGAACGGGCCCUUUGCUUCGGAAUAGCCCUGGGAAACUGGGAGUAAUACCGGAUGAGCCCUUUGGGGGAAAGAUUUAUCGGCGAAGGAUCGGCCCGCGUUGGAUUAGGUAGUUGGUGGGGUAAUGGCCUACCAAGCCGACGAUCCAUAGCUGGUUUGAGAAGAUGAUCAGCCACACUGGGACUGAGACACGGCCCAGACUCCUACGGGAGGCAGCAGUGGGGAAUCUUAGACAAUGGGGGAAACCCUGAUCUAGCCAUGCCGCGUGAGCGAUGAAGGCCUUAGGGUUGUAAAGCUCUUUCAGCUGGGAAGAUAAUGACGGUACCAGCAGAAGAAGCCCCGGCUAACUCCGUG